AUACGUAUGUCCCGAGCGUUAUCCGGAUUUAUUGGGCGUAAAGCGAGCGCAGACGGUUGAUUAAGUCUGAUGUGAAAGCCCGGAGCUCAACUCCGGAAUGGCAUUGGAAACUGGUUAACUUGAGUGUUGUAGAGGUAAGUGGAACUCCAUGUGUAGCGGUGGAAUGCGUAGAUAUAUGGAAGAACACCAGUGGCGAAGGCGGCUUACUGGACAACAACUGACGUUGAGGCUCGAAAGUGUGGGUAGCAAACAGGAUUAGAUACCCUGGUAGUCCACACCGUAAACGAUGAAUACUAGGUGUUAGGAGGUUUCCGCCUCUUAGUGCCGAAGCUAACGCAUUAAGUAUUCCGCCUGGGGAGUACGACCGCAAGGUUGAA
rnacentral:rRNA from 1 species